rnacentral:rRNA from 1 species
AACGGUCCUAAGGUAGCGAAAUUCCUUGUCGGGUAAGUUCCGACCUGCACGAAUGGCGUAAUGAUGGCCAGGCUGUCUCCACCCGAGACUCAGUGAAAUUGAACUCGCUGUGAAGAUGCAGUGUACCCGCGGCAAGACGGAAAGACCCCGUGAACCUUUACUAUAGCUUGACACUGAACAUUGAGCCUUGAUGUGUAGGAUAGGUGGGAGGCUUUGAAGUGUGGACGCCAGUCUGCAUGGAGCCGACCUUGAAAUACCACCCUUUAAUGUUUGAUGUUCUAACGUUGGCCCGUAAUCCGGGUUGCGGACAGUGUCUGGUGGGUAGUUUGACUGGGGCGGUCUCCUCCUAAAGAGUAACGGAGGAGCACGAAGGUUGGCUAAUCCUGGUCGGACAUCAGGAGGUUAGUGCAAUGGCAUAAGCCAGCUUGACUGCGAGCGUGACGGCGCGAGCAGGUGCGAAAGCAGGUCAUAGUGAUCCGGUGGUUCUGAAUGGAAGGGCCAUCGCUCAACGGAUAAAAGGUACUCCGGGGAUAACAGGCUGAUACCGCCCAAGAGUUCAUAUCGACGGCGGUGUUUGGCACCUCGAUGUCGGCUCAUCACAUCCUGGGGCUGAAGUAGGUCCCAAGGGUAUGGCUGUUCGCCAUUUAAAGUGGUACGCGAGCUGGGUUUAGAACGUCGUGAGACAGUUCGGUCCCUAUCUGCCGUGGGCGCUGGAGAACUGAGGGGGGCUGCUCCUAGUACGAGAGGACCGGAGUGGACGCAUCACUGGUGUUCGGGUUGUCAUGCCAAUGGCACUGCCCGGUAGCUAAAUGCGGAAGAGAUAAGUGCUGAAAGCAUCUAAGCACGAAACUUGCCCCGAGAUGAGUUCUCCCUGAGACUUUAAGUCUCCUGAAGGAACGUUGAAGACGACGACGUUGAUAGGCCGGGUGUGUAAGCGCAGCGAUGCGUUGAGCUAACCGGUACUAAUGAACCGUGAGGCUUAACCUUACAACGCCGAAG